CUAUCAGCUUUAGACGGUAGGGUAUUGGCCUACCGUGGCUAUGACGGGUAACGGGGAAUUAGGGUUCGAUUCCGGAGAGGGAGCCUGAGAAACGGCUACCACAUCUAAGGAAGGCAGCAGGCGCGCAAAUUACCCAAUCCUAAUACAGGGAGGUAGUGACAAGAAAUAACAAUACAGAGCCUUACGGUUUUGUAAUUGGAAUGAGUUAAGUAUAAACCCCUUAACAAGUAUCAAUUGGAGGGCAAGUCUGGUGCCAGCAGCCGCGGUAAUUCCAGCUCCAAUAGCGUAUAUUAAAGUUGUUGCAGUUAAAAAGCUCGUAGUUAAUUUUCUGUUAAUUUUUAUAUACAAUACUACGGUAUUUAUAUAAUAUUAACAUAAUUCAUAUUACUUUUUAGUAUAUGAAACUUUACUUUGAGAAAAUUAGAGUGCUUAAAGCAGGCUAUUGCCUUGAAUACUCCAGCAUGGAAUAAUAUUAAGGAUUUUUAUUCUUCUUAUUGGUUCUAGAAUAAAAAUAAUGAUUAAUAGGGACAGUUGGGGGCAUUUGUAUUUAACAGUCAGAGGUGAAAUUCUUAG
rnacentral:rRNA from 1 species